UACGGAGGGUGCGAGCGUUGUCCGGAAUCACUGGGCGUAAAGGGCGCGUAGGCGGCCUGAUAAGUAGGGGGUGAAAUCCUGCGGCUUAACCGCAGGGCUGCCUUCUAAACUGUCAGGCUGGAGCACAGUAGAGGCAGGUGGAAUUCCCGGUGUAGCGGUGGAAUGCGUAGAGAUCGGGAGGAAGACACCUAUGGCGAAGGCAGCUCGCUGGGACGUUACUGACGCUAGGCGCGAAAGCG
rnacentral:rRNA from 1 species